GUCUCUGUGGCGCAAUUGGAUAGCGCGUUCGGCUGUUAACCGAAAGGUUGCUGGUUCAAGCCCAGCCAGGGACG
rfam:Ciona savignyi cont_34425, whole genome shotgun sequence.